rnacentral:rRNA from 2 species
UACAGGGGGGGCAAGCGUUGUUCGGAAUUACUGGGCGUAAAGGGCUCGUAGGCGGCCAACUAAGUCACACGUGAAAUCCCCAGGCUUAACCUGGGAACUGCGUGUGAUACUGGAUGGCUUGAAUUCGGGAGAGGGAUGCAGAAUUCCAGGUGUAGCGGUGAAAUGCGUAGAUAUCUGGAGGAAUACCGGUGGCGAAGGCGGCAUCCUGGACCGACAUUGACGCUGAUGAGCGAAAGCUAGGGGAGCAAACGGG